rnacentral:rRNA from 1 species
UACGGAGGGUGCAAGCGUUGUCCGGAUUUAUUGGGUUUAAAGGGUGCGUAGGUGGAACUGUAAGUCUGAUUGAAGCAAGCGGCUUAACCGUUUGAUGUGGUUGGAAACUGUGGUUCUUGAAUGGGUUGGCGGUAGCCGGAAUGGGUCAUGUAGCGGUGAAAUGCAUAGAUAUGACCCGGAACACCGAUUGCGAAGGCAGGCUGACUACGACUUGAUUGACACUGAGGCACGAGAGCAUGGGUAGCGAACAGG